rnacentral:rRNA from 1 species
GACGAACGCUGGCGGCGUGCUUAACACAUGCAAGUCGAACGAUGAACUUGGAGCUUGCUCUGGGGGAUUAGUGGCGAACGGGUGAGUAACACGUGAGUAACCUGCCCUGGACUCUGGGAUAACUUCGAGAAAUCGGAGCUAAUACCGGAUAGGACCUUGCACCGCAUGGUGUGGGGUGGAAAGUUUUUCGGUUUGGGAUGGACUCGCGGCCUAUCAGCUUGUUGGUGAGGUAAUGGCUCACCAAGGCGUCGACGGGUAGCCGGCCUGAGAGGGGGACCGGCCACACUGGGACUGAGACACGGCCCAGACUCCUGCGGGAGGCAGCAGUGGGGAAUAUUGCACAAUGGGCGCAAGCCUGAUGCAGCAACGCCGCGUGCGGGAUGACGGCCUUCGGGUUGUAAACCGCUUUUAGUAGGGAAGAAGCCUUCGGGUGACGGUACCUGCAGAAAAAGGACCGGCUAACUACGUGCCAGCCGCCGCCGUAAGAC